UGGGGAAUAUUGCACAAUGGGGGAAACCCUGAUGCAGCGACGCCGCGUGAGCGAAGAAGGUUUUCGAAUCGUAAAGCUCUGUCCUAUGGGAAGAUAAGGACGGUACCAUAGGAGGAAGCCCCGGCUAACUUCGUGCCAGCAGCCGCGGCAAUACGUAGGGGGCAAGCGUUGUCCGGAAUCACUGGGCGUAAAGGGUUCGCAGGCGGAAAUGCAAGUCAGUUGUGAAAGGCAGAGGCUCAACCUCUGUAAGCAAUUGAAACUGUAUUUCUUGAGAUGUGGAGAGGCAAGUGGAAUUCCUAGUGUAGCGGUGAAAUGCGUAGAUAUUAGGAAGAAUACCGGUGGCGAAGGCGACUUGCUGGACACAAACUGACGCUGAGGAACGAAAGCGUGGGUAGCAAACAGG
rnacentral:rRNA from 1 species